UACGGGGGGGCAAGCGUUGUUCGGAAUUACUGGGCGUAAAGGCUCGUAGGCGGCCAACUAAGUCAGACGUGAAAUCCCUCGGCUUAACCGGGGAACUGCGUCUGAUACUGGAUGGCUUGAGUUCGGGAGAGGGAUGUGGAAUUCCAGGUGUAGCGGUGAAAUGCGUAGGUAUCUGGAGGAACACCGGUGGCGAAGGCGGCAUCCUGGACCGACGACUGACGCUGAUGAGCGAAAGCCAGGGGAGCAAACGGG
rnacentral:rRNA from 1 species